rnacentral:rRNA from 1 species
AGGAAUCUGCCUAUUAGUGGGGGACAACGUUUCGAAAGGAACGCUAAUACCGCAUACGUCCUACGGGAGAAAGCAGGGGACCUUCGGGCCUUGCGCUAAUAGAUGAGCCUAGGUCGGAUUAGCUUGUUGGUGAGGUAAUGGCUCACCAAGGCGACGAUCCGUAACUGGUCUGAGAGGAUGAUCAGUCACACUGGAACUGAGACACGGUCCAGACUCCUACGGGAGGCAGCAGUGGGGAAUAUUGGACAAUGGGCGAAAGCCUGAUCCAGCCAUGCCGCGUGUGUGAAGAAGGUCUUCGGAUUGUAAAGCACUUUAAGUUGGGAGGAAGGGUUGUAGAUUAAUACUCUGCAAUUUUGACGUUACCGACAGAAUAAGCACCGGCUAACUCUGUGCCAGCAGCCGCGGUAAUACAGAGGGUGCAAGCGCUAAUCGGAAUUACUGGGCGUAAAGCGCGCGUAGGUGGUUUGUUAAGUUGGAUGUGAAAGCCCCGGGCUCAACCUGGGAACUGCAUCCAAAACUGGCAAGCUAGAGUACGGUAGAGGGUGGUGGAAUUUCCUGU